AUUGAACGCUGGCGGCAUGCCUUACACAUGCAAGUCGAACGGCAGCACGGGAGCAAUCCUGGUGGCGAGUGGCGAACGGGUGAGUAAUAUAUCGGAACGUGCCCAGUCGUGGGGAUAACGUAGCGAAAGCUACGCUAAUACCGCAUACGAUCUAUGGAUGAAAGCGGGGGAUCGCAAGACCUCGCGCGAUUGGAGCGGCCGAUAUCAGAUUAGGUAGUUGGUGAGGUAAAGGCUCACCAAGCCGACGAUCUGUAGCUGGUCUGAGAGGACGACCAGCCACACUGGGACUGAGACACGGCUCAGACUCCUACGGGAGGCAGCAGUGGGGGAAUUUUUGGACAAUGGGCGCAAGCCUGAUCCAGCAAUGCCGCGUGCAGGAUGAAGGCCUCGGUUGG
rnacentral:rRNA from 1 species